UACGUAGGGCGCAAGCGUUGUCCGGAAUCAUUGGGCGUAAAGAGCGUGUAGGCGGCCCGGUAAGUCCGCUGUGAAAGUCCAGGCUCAACCCUGGGAUGCCGGUGGAUACUGUCGGGCUCGAGUCCGGAAGAGGAGUGUGGAAUUCCGUGGUGUAGCGGUGAAAUGCGCAGAUAUCGAGGAGGAACACCAAUGGCGAAGGCAGCACUCUGGGACGUGACUG
rnacentral:rRNA from 1 species